GACGAACGCUGGCGGCGUGCCUAACACAUGCAAGUCGAACGAGAUCCAUGGGAGCUUGCUCCCGGAAGAUCUAGUGGCGAACGGGUGAGUAACACGUGAGAAACCUGCCCUGGAGUGGGAAUAACUCGGGGAAACUCGAGCUAAUACCGCAUACCCUCGGAUGGUCGCAUGGCCGACCGAGGAAAGAUUUAUCGCUCUAGGAGGGUCUCGCGGCCUAUCAGCUAGUUGUGGGUAACGGCCUACCAAGGCAACGACGGGUAGCUGGUUUGAGAGAACGAUCAGCCACACUGGGACUGAGACACGGCCCAGACUCCUACGGGAGGCAGCAGUGGGGAAUCUUGCGCAAUGGGCGAAAGCCUGACGCAGCAACGCCGCGUGCGGGAUGACGGCCUUCGUGG
rnacentral:rRNA from 1 species